AUACAGACUGAGUCAUCUGUACAUCCAACAGUAAAAAUUCUCAACCGGGUGCCAUUUUAUCAUCUUCACCGGAAAAAGGUGCUUCCAGGCAUGCAGGAGGCAACUCUUUCCCUCAAGAUGAAGGAGAGCCACGGAAUGGUCACUGCACACACAGCAAACUCUCUGGUCACCCCUUAGCUGUGAAAAAACAACAUGCUUAUGUGGAGUCUUGCUCUGUUGUCAAGGAUGGAGUGCAGUGGCACGAUCUCGGCUCAUUGCAACCCCUGCCUUCUGUGUUCAAACCAUUCUCCUACCUCAACCUCCGAAGUAGCUGGGAUUACAGAUCCCAGAGCUCCUUGGGGAAGCCUAAAUAAUUUUGUCAUCAACACAAAUCGUAUGAUUGUUCUUUUGUCCAUCAUCUCAACUUGUAGCCUGAUGUCAGGGAAGAGUUUCAGAGUGAUUCCUAGAGAGAAGAAGAGCACUAGAAGCAGAACUGCAUUGCGAAUCAUCAUAACAGGAAGCCUUCCUAUUUCAGAAAUAAUAUCCAACUACUACCUUGAAUUCUUACGGAGUGAACAAUGCACAUGCAGUUGA
rnacentral:lncRNA from 1 species